AUGACUUUGAUCUGCGUCCUCAUCUGGACUCUCCUCUGCUGCUGCUUCACAGAGUCCAGAGGACAGGUCACAGUGACUCAGCCUGGAGCAGUGAGCUCUGCUCCGGGAGGCUCCGUCUCCAUCAGCUGUAGGAUCAGUCAGAAGGUUUAUAAUGGGAACUAUUUACACUGGUACCAACAGAGAGAUGGAGAAACUCCUAAACUCCUUAUUCGCAUUACUGGCACUCGUCAGUCAGGGACUCCAGAUCGUUUUACAGGCAGUGGAUCAAACUCUGACUUCACUCUGACCAUCAGUGGAGUUCAGACUGAAGAUGCAGCAGUUUACUACUGUCAGAGUUUUCAUGUCAUCAACAGUCAGUGGGUGUUCACACAGUGA